GUUCGCUUCCAGGAGUUUGAUGGUGUCUUGUCUUAUACUUAAGUCUUUCAGCCAUUUUGAGUUUAUUUUUGUGCAUGGUGUGAGGGUGUGUUCUAGUUUCAUUGCUUUGCAUGCAGCUGUCCAGUUUUUCCAGCAAUGCUUGCUGAAUAGACUGUCUUUUUCCCAUUUUAUGUUCUUGCCUCCCUUGUCAAAGAUUAAUUGACCAUAGGUGUCAGGGUUUAUUUCCGGGUUCUCUAUUCUGUUCCAUUGGUCUGUCUGUCUGUUUUGGUACCAGUACCACACUGUUUUGAUGACUGUGGCUUUGUAGUAUUUCUUGAAGUCUGGGAGAGUUAUGCCUCCUGCUUGGUUUUUGUUUCUCAGGAUUGCUUUGGCGAUUCUGGGUCUUUUGUGGUUCCAUAUAAAUGUUUGGAUUGUUUGUUCUAGUUCUGUGAAAAAUGUCAUGGGUAAUUUGAUAGGGAUUGCAUUGAAUCUGUAGAUUGCUUUGGGUAGUAUGGCCAUUUUUACAAUAUUGAUUUUCCCAAUCCAGGAACAUGGAAUAUCUUUCCACUUCUUUACAUUUUCUUUAAUUUUCUUGAUUAAUGUUUUAUAGUGCUCAGCAUAUAAGUCCUUUACCUCCUCAGUCAGGUGUAUUCCCAGGUAUUUGAUUUUUUGGGGUACAAUUUUAAAAGGUAUCAUAUUUUUGUAUUCCUUUUGUAAUAUUUCAUUUUUUGUACACAAAAAUGUGACUGAUUUCUAAAUGUUACUUUGCUGAAUUUGUUGAUCAGUUCAAGUAGUUUUUGGGUUGAGUGCUUAGGGUUUUUUAUGUACAGUAUCAUGUCAUCUGCAUACAGUGACAGUUUUAUCUCUUCUCUUCCUAUAUGGAUGCCUUUAAUUUCUUUUGUUUGUCUAAUUGCUGUGGCUAGGACUUCCAAAACUAUGUUGAAUAACAGUGGUGAGGUGGACAUCCUUGUCUUGUUCCAUAUUUUAGUGGAAAGGCUUUCAGUUUUUCUCCAUUGAGUAUUAUCUUUGCUGUGGGUUUGUCAUAAAUGGAUUUAUGUUAAGGAAUAUUCCCUCUAUACCCACCUUGGUAAGAGUUUUUAUCAUAAAUGGAUGUUGGACUUUGUCAAGUGCUUUUUCUGCAUCUCUUGAGAUGAUCAUGUGGUUGCUGACUUUUUUGUUGUUGUUGUUAAUGUGGUGUAUGACGUUGAUUGAUUUGUGUAAGUUGAACCAUCCUUGUGAACCUGGGAUGAAUCCUACCUGGUCGUGGUGUAUGAUCUUUUUUAUAUGUUGUUGUAUUCGGUUGGCUAAAAUUUUGUUGAGAACUUUUGCAUCUAUAUUCAUCAAAGAUAUUGGCCGAUAGUUUUCUUUUUUGGUGGUAUCUUUGUCUGGUUUUGGAAUUAGGGUGAUGGUGGUGUCAUAGAAUGUCUUUGGGAGUGUUUCUUCUUCUUCAACCUUUUGAAAAAAUUUAAGUUGGAUGGGUGUAAGUUCCUCUUUGUAUGUUUGGUAGAAUUCACCUGUGAAGCCAUGUGGUCCUGGACUUUUAUUUGUAGGGAGCGUUUUUAUGACGUAUUCAAUUUAAUUUCUAGUGACCGGUCUGUUCAGUUGAUCUAUUUCUUCUUGAUUCAGUUUUGGCAGGCUGUAAGUUUCUAGAAAGUUGUCCAUUCCUUCUAGGUUGUCAAAUUUGUUGGCAUAUAAUUGUUCAUAGUAUUGUCUAUGUUUUUUUCUAUUUCUGUAGUAUCUGUUGUGACUUCUCCUUUUUCAUUUCUGAUUUUGUUUAUUUGGGUUUUUUCUCUCCUCUUCUUGGUGAGUCUAGCCAGAGGUUUGUCAAUUUUGUUUACCUUUUCAAAGAACCAGCUCUUGGUUUGAUUGAUUUCUUCAUUUGUUUUUUUAAUCUCUAUUUUAUCAAUUUCCUCUUUGAUCUUUAUGAUUUCCUUCCUUCUGCUGACUUUAGGUUUUGUUUGUUCUUCUUUUUCUAAUUCAUUUAGGUAUUGAGUUAAAUUGUCGAUUUGAGAUUUUUCUUCUUUUUCAAAGAAGGCCUGUAUUGCUAUGAAUUUUCCUCCGAGUACUGCUUUUGCGCCAUCCUAUAGAUUUUAAGUAGAUGUGUCUUCAUUAUCAUUUUUCUCAAGGUAUUUUUUAAUUUCCCUCUUGAUUUCCUCAUUGACCUAUUGGUUUUUUAGUAGCAUGUUGUUUAGUCUCCAUGUAGUAAGUUUUUCUUCACUUUUUUUCCUGUGAUUGAUUUCUAGGUUUAUGCCACUGUGGUCAGAGGAGAUACUUGAAAUAAUUUCUAUACUUUUAAAUUUGUUGAGGUUAGCUUUGUGCCCCAGUAUGUGAUCAAUUCUUGAGAAUGUUCCAUGUGCACUUGAGAAGAAUAUAUAUUCUGAUUUUUUUGGAUGUAUGUCCUGAAAAUGUCAAUUAAGUCUAACUUUUCUAUUGUGUCCUUUAGGAUCUCUGUUCCCUUAUUGAUUUUCUGUCUAGAGGAUAUGUCCAUUGUUAUGAGUGGGGUGUUCAAGUCUCCUACUAUGAUUGUAUUCCUAUCGAUUUCUCCUUUUAUGUCUGUUAGUAUUUGUUGUAGGUAUCUUGGUGCUCCUAUAUUAGGGGCAUAUGUAUUGAUGAUUGUAAUAUCUUCUUCUUGAAUGGAUUCUUUUACCAUUAAAUAGUGUCUUUCUUUGUCUUUCUUUAUGGCCUUCAUUUUAAAGUCUAUUUUAUCUGAUGUGAGUAUUGCAACUACUGCUUUCCUGUCUUGUCCAUUGGCAUGAAAUAUCUUUUCCCAUCCCCUCACUUUCAAUCUAUAUGUGUCCUUUCCUCUAAGGUGAGUUUCUUGUAGGCAGCAGAUUGAAGGUUUUUUCUUUUUUAUCCAAUCUGCCACUCUAUGUCUUUUGAUUGGAGCAUUCAGUCCAUUGACAUUUAAGGUGAUUAUUGAUCGAUAUGUAUUUAUUGCCAUUUUAAACCUUGUUUUCCAGUUGAUUCUAUGUUUCUCUUUUCUUCUUUUCUUUUUUGGGUUGGAUGGUUUCCAUUUAUUCUAUGCUUGAUACUUUUCUUUUCAGUUUUUGUGAAUGUAAUGUUUGGUUUUGAUUUGUGGUUUCCUUGUAUUUUAAGCACAUUAGACCCUUCCUAUAUCUGCUUGCUUUUGCCUGAUAGUCAUAAAGACUCAGACACAUCAUUAAAAUAAAAAAAAAUCUAUAUUUUCUUACUUUCCUUCCCCACACUGUAUGAUAUCAAUGUCUUUUUUUGGUUUUGUUUUGUUUAACAUCUUCAUGUUUAGAUCUGUAUGCUGGCUUAUUUAAGUGAUUGCUUUCCAGUUGUGAUUUCCUCCAUCCUAAUUCUUCUUUUUCUCUCUCUCCUUUUUUUAAUUUAGAGAAGCUCUUUCAGUAUUUCUUUUAGAAUGAGUUUAGUAUUGCUGUACUCUUUUAGCUUUUGUUGGAGAAAUUCUUUAUUUCCCCUUCUAAUUUAAAUGAUAUUCUUGCUGGAUAGAGUAUUCUAGGUUGCAAAGCUUUUCCUUUCAGUGCUUUAAAUAUAUCUUGCCACUCCCUCUGGCCUGUAGUGUUUCUGUAGAGAAAUCAGCUGAUAGCCUUAUGGGGGUCCCCUUAUAAGUGACACUUUGCUUUUCUCUUGCUGCCUUUAGGAUCCUCUCUUUAUCAUUAACUUUUGCCAUUUUUAUUAUAAUAUGUCUUGGUGUGGGCCUGUUUCAGUUCAGCUUGUUUGGGGCCCUCUGUACUUCCUGUAUCUUGAUAUCAGUAUGCUUUAGAUUUUGGAAGUUUUCAGCCAUAAUUUUGUCAAAUAUAUUUUCAAUCCUCUUUCCUUCUUCUUUUCCUUCUGGAAUUCCUAUUAUGCAUAGAAUGGCCUGCUUUAUAUUAUCCCAUAGAUCUCUUAUAUUGCUUUCAUGUUUUUUCAUUUGGUUUUCUGUCUGCUGUCCUGAUUGGGUGAUUUCCAUUAUUUUAUCUUCCACAUCACUAAUUCGUUCCUCUGCAUUAUUCAUUCUGCUCUUUAUUGCCUUAAGCUCAGUUUGUAUCUCUGCAAAUGAAUUUUCUAGUUUUUCUUGUCUCCUCCUUAUAUUUUCUAGUUCCUUUAUAAAGAAAUCUGCAUUACUAUUAAUAUCCUCUCUUAAUUCCUUCCGUAUUUCUAAUACCUCCCUUUUGAACUCGAUGUCUGUUGGACUGCAGAGAUCUGUUUCAUUGUUGUCUGCUUUAGGUGAAUUCUCCUGUUCCUUUAACUGGGAAUGGUUUCUGUGCUUCUUCAUCUUGCUUGUGUUUUUCUUUUUCUGUGAGUUCAGGGAAGCCAAACUUUAGUCUUGUAAGGCUACCUCUAUGCAAAAUACCCAUUUGUAUUUUUUGGGGGGCUACUAUUUAUUUUUGUUGUGGGAGUUUGAAGAUUUGCUGUCUCUUUCUUCGGUGUGAGCAGGCCAUUGUUCCCAGGAUGCUUGGUGUGUUUUCAGGGAGCAGGAGGCAAUGGAUAGGGCCAGCAGUCAGUGCCUGGUCUUUGGGCUCUCAAUAGCAGCAAGGACCUGCAGGAAGGUGGCACAGGCUACUCCUAGUUGCAGGGCCCUGGGAAGUGGUAAUAAGCUCUAGGCAGACCUUCAAGGUGACCAGAGCAUUUGGGGGUAGCAACAGCAGGGUGCGUGAGUUCCCAGGGGAGUGAGAGCAACAACAGCUUGUGUUUGAUUGCAAUGCCCUCCUCUGAGGUGACUGGAAGUGCAGGUGGUGCCUGUUCAGGUUCCCCUGUUUGGGAGCAGACCAUGACCAUCUCUAGAGUCAGUGAUAACUGUGGUAUUUGCCCCCACCACCUGUAGACCAUGCAUGAAGUAACCCAUCCCACUUAGCCCACCUAUGAGGUUGUUCUAAAGGGUGCUCCUAGUUGCAGGAUGCUGAGAAGUGACCGAGAACAGGCAUGUGGGUACUGCCUGGAAUGUUUGGCAGUGGCAACAUAAGGGCGGGUGUGUUCCUAGGGGUUCAAGGACACCAACAGGUGGUGUUUGGUCACAGCGCCCUCCUGUGGUGCCUUUAGGUGAAUGGGGCUGCAAGUGAUUUUCAUUCUGGUAUCUCCAGUGGCAGUGGGCCACGCCCACCUCUGGAAUCAGGGAUAACUGCUGAGGUGUGCCCCUGCCAUCUGCAGACCACACAUGAAGCACCCUGUCCCACUUAGCCCAUUCAGGAGGUGCUGCACCAGUUGCUCCUAGUUGUAGGGUCUUGGGAAGGGACAGUGACCAAGUGUCUCUGGGUCACCCAGAGCGUUUGGCAGUGGCAGCUACAGGGUGGGUCUGUUCCCAGGGGAGUAAGAGCAACAGCGUAUGGUGCUUGGUUGCAAUGCCCUGUUUUUUUCUUUUUUGGCAAUCCCUGAGGUGACCGGGGUCGCUGGUGGAGCCCACUCACAGGCCUCCAGUGGUGGCAAGCCACACCUCCCUUUGGCCUCUGAGACAGCCACUGCACUCUGUCCCUGCCACCUGUGGAUCGUGCAAGAGGCAUCACGUUGCACUUAGCCCCCUUAUGCCCUUAGCCCACACAGUAAGUGCCUGGCCACCAGCAGCCUGCACAAGAAGUGCCUAAUCUCCCUUAAACAAGCAAGAGACUUCUUCCGCCCACCCGUAGUCUCUGCAGAGCCACCCACCCUCUAAGUAUGUGGGCAUGUGCACACUCCGGUGCAGGGAGUUUCCUAUGGCAGACCGCCCCUCCUUCUCUCCCCUCCCCAACAAUGGCGCCUUGCCUCUCCUGCGGGUCCAGAUCUUCUCCUGGGUUCCCUCUGCCAGUGGUGUUCCCUCCUUAGUCCGUGGUGCACUGCUCCUUAGCCCCUCAUGCCAUCCCCAGUUCUUUCCCUGGAACUGACCUUAGGAGCCUGAGUCUCAGUGCCCAGCCCCUGCCCAAGUGUCUCAGGCUGUGGUAUCCAGGCAGAUGGUUCAGAUGAUCUGUGUGGCUCUCACUCUGCUUUGCUGUUCUCAGUCCAGAUGCUGCGCUUUUCUCAGCAACUUUGAGGUCCUGCCGACUCAGCUGAUCUUUCUUCAGUUAGGUGGCUUCCAAGGAGGUAGGUUCUUUUUCUCCUUCACAGCUCCCUUUCGGGAAUGCUAGUCCCGUCCUGAUUCCUUUUCUCUCUCUUUUUUUCUUUUGUUCUACCCAGUUAUGUCAAGAGUUUCUUGCCCUUUUUGAAGGUUUAAGUUCUUGUGCCAGCAUUCAGUUGAUGAUCUGUGCGGGUAGUUUUACAUGUAGAUGUGUUUUUUUGAUGUGUUUGUGGGAAAAGAUGUGCACGACCUCUUACUCCUCUGCCAUCUUGCUCCCUCUCCACUCUGGGUUCUUUAAAUGUGGAAUCUGAAUCUUGAGAAAUUUUCUUAUUUUUAAAAAAAUGUAUUUAUUAAUGUUUAUGUACUUUUAUUUUUAUUAAUUAAAUUUAUCUUUUUAGGGUAUAGUUGAUUUACAGUAUUGAGUCAAUUUCUGCUGUACAACAUAGUGACCCAGAUACACACACACACACACACACACACACACACACACACACACACACACAUUAUACACAUUCUUUUUCCAUUAUGGUCUAUCCCAAGAGACUAGAUAUAGACAUUUUCUUGAAUUAAAAAAUAAUUCCAUUCCAGAGUUCCAUUGUGUCUCUGUGGAAAUGAAUCUGAAUAGCAUCCACAAGGACGCAGGUUCAAUCCCUGACCUUGCUCAGUGAGCUGAGGAUGUGGCGUUGCUGUGAGCUGUGGUGUAGGCUAGCAGCUACAACUCUGAUUUGACCCCUAGCCUGGGAACCUCCAUAUGCUGUGGGUGUGGCCCUUAAAAAAAAAA
rnacentral:lncRNA from 1 species